rnacentral:rRNA from 1 species
UACGUAGGGGGCGAGCGUUGUCCGGAAUCAUUGGGCGUAAAGCGCGUGUAGGCGGCCCGGUAAGUCCGCUGUGAAAGUCCAGGGCUCAACCCUGGGAUGCCGGUGGAUACUGUCGGGCUCGAGUCCGGAAGAGGCGAGUGGAAUUCCUGGUGUAGCGGUGAAAUGCGUAGAUAUCUGGAGGAAUACCGGUGGCGAAGGCGGCAUCCUGGACCGACAUUGACGCUGAUGAGCGAAAGCUAGGGGAGCAAACGGG